rnacentral:lncRNA from 1 species
AAUGAUCGAUAUCAAAUUUUUAGUUAAAUUAAGAAUAGAAUACUAAUUAUAAAAUAUUUAUGGAUUAUUAAAUGUUUUGGUGAUAGAUUUGUCAAAAAUAAAGAUAUACUAUGAUAUAAUUUAUUAAUUUUAAUAAAUUUAUGACAUGUUUCAAAAUUUUGGAUUAGCCUUUGCGGAAUUGGCUUUUUAACCAGAGAGAGAAACUAACUUUAUUGUAAUAGAUAUGUAAGUUGCAUACAUAAAAAGAAGAAUAAGCAACCGUGUGGAUGUGUCUAGGUUUGUGUUCAAAUAGGGAUUUAUCAAAAUGGUAAUGUGAGCGUGAAAAUCUGAAAACAUUGGAAUACAAAAUGCUAAAAGUGUGUUGGAUCUCUUAUAAAGUCAGAGACACAGAUGCAUAGCUUUCGCACCAAGUCUGUGUUGCAUUGCAUAGCAAUUGAAUUAUGUACAUACAGUCCAGUCCUGGUUCUCUUAAUGAUCGAAAAACAAAUAGUAGAGAUUUGAUGAUCAAGCACGUUUUUUUUUUCUUGUUGGAUAUAUUUCAGUUUACCAUGGAGAUACAAAUUUUAAUGAAAUAGUCAUUUUUUA